AUCCUGGCUCAGGACGAACGCUGGCGGCAUGCCUAAUACAUGCAAGUCGAGCGGACUUGAAGAGAAGCUUGCUUCUCUGAUAGUUAGCGGCGGACGGGUGAGUAACACGUAGGCAACCUGCCCUCAAGUUUGGGACAACUACCGGAAACGGUAGCUAAUACCGAAUAGUUGUUUUCUUCUCCUGAAGAGAACUGGAAAGACGGAGCAAUCUGUCACUUGGGGAUGGGCCUGCGGCGCAUUAGCUAGUUGGUGGGGUAACGGCUCACCAAGGCGACGAUGCGUAGCCGACCUGAGAGGGUGAUCGGCCACACUGGGACUGAGACACGGCCCAGACUCCUACGGGAGGCAGCAGUAGGGAAUCUUCCGCAAUGGGCGAAAGCCUGACGGAGCAAUGCCGCGUGAGUGAUGAAGGUUUUCGGAUCGUAAAGCUCUGUUGCCAGGGAAGAACGCUUGGGAGAGUAACUGCUCUCAAGGUGACGGUACCUGAGAAGAAAGCCCCGGCUAACUACGUGCCAGCAGCCGCGGUAAUACGUAGGGGGCAAGCGUUGUCCGGAAUUAUUGGGCGUAAAGCGCGCGCAGGCGGUCAUUUAAGUCUGGUGUUUAAUCCCGGGGCUCA
rnacentral:rRNA from 1 species